UUGAAUAAGUUGGAAGGUUGUAGCUGGCCCUUUGGGGCAUGUGCACGCCUUUCAAACUCAUCUCAACCACCUGUGCACCCUUUGUAGACCUGGAAAGUAGACUUUCUUAAAAGUCGGCUUACUUUUCCAGUGUCUAUGUUUUAUAAUUACCCCUUUAAAUGUCAUAGAAUGUAUUUGAUGGGCCUAGUGUCCUUUAAAAAUAUA
rnacentral:misc_RNA from 1 species